rnacentral:rRNA from 1 species
GAUGAACGCUAGCGGCAGGCUUAAUACAUGCAAGUCGAGGGGUCAGCAAUGACACCGGCGGACGGGUGCGUAACGCGUAUGCAACCUACCUACAUCAGGGGGAUAGCCCUAGGAAACUGGGAUUAACACCGCAUAAUAUUAUUAAUGGCAUCAUUGAUAAUUGAAAUAUUUAUAGGAAGUAGAUGGGCAUGCGUAAGAUUAGCUAGUUGGUAAGGUAACGGCUUACCAAGGCUACGAUCUUUAGGGGCUCUGAGAGGAGUAUCCCCCACACUGGCACUGAGAUACGGGCCAGACUCCUACGGGAGGCAGCAGUAGGGAAUAUUGGGCAAUGGAGGCAACUCUGACCCAGCCAUGCCGCGUGCAGGAAGACGGCCCUCUGGGUUGUAAACUGCUUUUGAAUGGGAAGAAUGUGUGGCUUGCGAGCUAUAAUGACGGUACCAUUAGAAUAAGCCACGGCUAACUACGUGCCAGCAGCCCGGGUAAAA